UGGGGAAUUUUGCACAAUGGGGGAAACCCUGAUGCAGCGACGCCGCGUGAUUUAGAAGGCCUUCGGGUUGUAAAAAUCUUUUCUAUGGGAAGAAAAUGACAGUACCAUAGGAAUAAGGACCGGCUAAUUACGUGCCAGCAGCCGCGGUAAUACGUAAGGUCCGAGCGUUGUCCGGAAUCAUUGGGCGUAAAGGGUACGUAGGCGGGUAAGCAAGUUAGAAGUGAAAUCCUAUAGCUCAACUAUAGUAAGCUUUUAAAACUGCUCAUCUUGUGGUAUGGAAGGGAAAGUGGAAUUCCUAGUGUAGCGGUGAAAUGCGCAGAUAUUAGGAGGAAUACCGGUGGCGAAGGCGACUUUCUGGCCAUAACCUGACGCUGAGGUACGAAAGCGUGGGUAGCAAACAGGA
rnacentral:rRNA from 1 species